GCUCGCAUUGAUUACGUCCCUGCCCUUUGUACACACCGCCCGUCGCACCUACCGAUUGAAUCAUUCGGUGAGGAUCUCGGAUUUUGUUGCUUACGCUUCACGGCGUUUUCGACGAGAGAAGUCAUCCAAACCUCAUGAUUUAGAGGAAGGUGAAGUCGUAACAAGGUUUCCGUAGGUGAACCUGCGGAAGGAUCAUUACCGAAGAAUUUCGCAAAUCGAACCUCAUCACAACCACUGUCUUGCCCACUCGCCCACCCCGCGGGCUUCUCUUUCUCUAUCGGGCACAUUUCUCCAAGGGUCGUCGUGUGCAGGCGGAACGGCCGCUACGGAUAGAUAUUCUUCCGUGCUGCUUGCUUGCCGGAUGGGCCUCGGGGAAGGGGACGCUCGGAGAGAGAGGGGGGCUUGUCUCGUGGGGGGGGUUCGAGAGAGCCGGACCUGAUAUGGGGGGAGAGAAGGGAACACGUGAAAUGACUUUUGAUAUUAUCGGUCGGGCGAGGGGCGUCUCGCCGAGGUCAGCGCAAUCAAACGCGCCGAGUCUCGAAUCAAAGCGUACUUCUUUUUCUUACCCAAGUAACUUCUGAAUCUGAACUCAAAAGGAGGCGCGCGCGCGCGUUUCGACGCGGACUGCGCGCCUCCUCAACCUUUUAACGUUGUAAAACUUUCAGCGACGGAUGUCUUGGCUCCCACAACGAUGAAGAACGCAGCGAAAUGCGAUACGUCUUGCGACUUGCAGAAUCCAGUGAAUCAUCAAAACUUUGAACGCAUCUUGCGCUUCCGGGAUAUGCCUGGGAGCAUGCUUGUCGGAGUGUCUGUUGACACCACUCGCCCCGUUUCCUUUCGUCCCCCUUCGGGGGAGGAGAGGUCCUGGGACGGACUCUGCGUGUUCCGGAGCGCGAGCUCCGAGUGCACCGAACCUCGUGAACGAGACCUCUACCGCCUUCGUUGCACAGAGUUGUUGACGGCGUGUCGCUUCGGCGACGCGACUCUCUACUCGCUACGUGCGACGUGUCAGCGCGGUGCUGCGUCAUUGUCGUUCCGGUCUUGCGGCCCUUUAGGUGGGGUCGCUACAUCCCAACUUUCGUUCGGACCUCCGAUCAAGCAAGAGGACCCGC
rnacentral:misc_RNA from 1 species